UACAGAGGUCUCAAGCGUUGUUCGGAUUCAUUGGGCGUAAAGGGUGCGUAGGCGGCCCGUUAAGUCAGUGGUGAAAGCCUCCAGCUCAACUGGAGAACUGCCAUUGAUACUGACGGGCUGGAGGUUUGGAGGGGGGACUGGAAUUCUUGGUGUAGCAGUGAAAUGCGUAGAUAUCAAGAGGAACACCAGUGGCGAAGGCGAGUCCCUGGACAACACCUGACACUGAGGCACGAAAGCUAGGGGAGCAAACAGG
rnacentral:rRNA from 1 species